rnacentral:rRNA from 1 species
AUUGAACGCUGGCGGCAGGCCUAACACAUGCAAGUCGAGCGGAUGACGGGAGCUUGCUCCUUGAUUCAGCGGCGGACGGGUGAGUAAUGCCUAGGAAUCUGCCUGGUAGUGGGGGACAACGUUUCGAAAGGAACGCUAAUACCGCAUACGUCCUACGGGAGAAAGCAGGGGACCUUCGGGCCUUGCGCUAUCAGAUGAGCCUAGGUCGGAUUAGCUAGUUGGUGGGGUAAUGGCUCACCAAGGCGACGAUCCGUAACUGGUCUGAGAGGAUGAUCAGUCACACUGGAACUGAGACACGGUCCAGACUCCUACGGGAGGCAGCAGUGGGGAAUAUUGGACAAUGGGCGAAAGCCUGAUCCAGCCAUGCCGCGUGUGUGAAGAAGGUCUUCGGAUUGUAAAGCACUUUAAGUUGGGAGGAAGGGCAGUAAGUUAAUACCUUGCUGUUUUGACGUUACCGACAGAAUAAGCACCGGCUAACUCUGUGCCAGCAGCCGCGGUAAUACAGAGGGUGCAAGCGUUAAUCGGAAUUACUGGGCGUAAAGCGCGCGUAGGUGGUUUGUUAAGUUGGAUGUGAAAGCCCCGGGCUCAACCUGGGAACUGCAUCCAAAACUGGCAAGCUAGAGUACGGUAGAGGGUGGUGGAAUUUCCUGUGUAGCGGUGAAAUGCGUAGAUAUAGGAAGGAACACCAGUGGCGAAGGCGACCACCUGGACUGAUACUGACACUGAGGUG